rnacentral:lncRNA from 1 species
CAUAACUAAAACUACACCUCAUUACCAGCUAAUAUUCAUAACUAAAACUACACCUCACUACCAGUUAAUAUUCAUAACUAAAACUACACCUCAUUACCAGUUAAUAUUCAUAACUAAAACUACACCUCAUUACCAGCUAAUAUUCAGAACUAAAACUACACCUCAUUACCAGCUAAUAUUCAUAACUAAAACUACACCUCAUUACCAGCUAAUAUUCAUAACUAAAACUACACCUCAUUACCAGUUUAUAUUCAUAACUAAAACCACACCUCAUUACCAGGUAAUAUUCAUAACUAAAACUACACCUCAUUACCAGUUUAUAUUCAUAACUAUAACUUCAUCUAGUUUUAACAUUCUGUCAUAUAAAAACACAUUUUAACCUGUUAGGGCUAGGGGGCAGUAUUGACACGGCCGGAUAAAAAACGUACCCGAUUUAGUCUGGUUACUACUCCUGCCCAGUAACUAGAAUAUCCAUAUAAUUAUUAGAUAUGGAUAGAAAACACCCUAAAGUUUCUAAAACUGUUUGAAUGGUGUCUGUGAGUAUAACAGAACUCAUAUGGCAGGCAAAAACCUGAGAAGAUUCCAUGCAGGAAGUGACCUGUCUGACUAUUUGUUGUCCUUCUGUUGCAUCUCUAUCAAAAAUACAGCAUCUCUGCUGUAAUGUGACAUUUUCUAAGGCUUCCAUUGGCUCUCAGAAGGCGCCAGAAAGUGUAAUGGGGUGUCUGCUGUCUCUGGGCGAAGAACAGCAGGAGAAUUUGUGAGUGGUCAGCCUGGGGACAGUGACACUGGAGAUGCGCUUUCAUUAGAAUUCUCCAUUUUUUUCUUUCAGCCUUUGAAUGAAUACAACGUCGCCCGGUUGGAAUAUUAUCGCUAUUUUACGAGAAAAAUAGCAUAAAAAUUGAUUUAAACAGCGUUUGACAUGCUUCAAAGUACGGUAAUGGAAUAUUUUGACAUUUUUUUGUCACGAAAUGCGCUCCCGCUUCACCCUUCGGAUAGUGACCUGAACGCACGAACAAAACGGAGCUAUUUGAAUAUAACUAUGGAUUGUUUGGAACCAAAACAACAUUUGUUGUUGAAGUAGAAGUCCUGGGAGUGCAUUCUGACGAAGAACAGCAAAGGACCUGAGCCCUAGGACUAUGCCUCAUGACUACCUGGCAUGAUGACUCCUUGCUGUCCCCAGUCCACCUGGUUAUGCUGCUGCUCCAGUUUCAACUGUUCUGCCUGCGGCUAUGGAACCCUGACCUGUUCACCGGACGUGCUUGUUGCACCCUCGACA